CACGUAGGGGGCAAGCGUUGUCCGGAUUCAUUGGGCGUAAAGAGCUCGUAGGCGGCUCAGUAAGUCGGGUGUGAAACCCUCAGGCUCAACCUGGGGACGCCACUCGAUACUGCUGUGGCUAGAGUCCAGUAGAGGAGUGUGGAAUUCCCGGUGUAGCGGUGAAAUGCGCAGAUAUCGGGAGGAACACCAACGGCGAAGGCAGCACUCUGGGCUGGAACUGACGCUGAGGAGCGAAAGCGUGGGUAGCAAACAGG
rnacentral:rRNA from 1 species